rnacentral:rRNA from 1 species
AUCUAUUGCUAUACCCCUCUUAAUGCACCUGACCUUGACUGACCUCAGAAGAUAAGCAAGGUCAGGUCUGGUUAGUACUUGGGUGGAAAAAN